rnacentral:lncRNA from 1 species
UUUCGACGUCACGAUUUUCGUCGACGCAAACAGUUUGACAGUUCUCUUCAGUUGAUCUUGUUUGGACUUGAUUUCAACCGAAUUGAACCAGUUGUCGUUGCUGUUGGGCUACUGGAGGAUUUUGAUUUCGGUUUUCGUGGCGGUGAAGGACGAAGACGGGACAUAUCGUUAAUUCAGUGGGCCAUGUCCAUGGACUAUGCCGGAGGACGGUAUCGGAAGGAAUCGGUCUGCGAUUGAGAAAGCGGAUUGGUGUUUUGCUUUCCGCGGAAGUUGCAUUUCCAAAGGAGAAGGAGUGUCCGAGUGUUGAAUGUGUCGGAAACAGAAGGAGGGAGACGGAACAUUCAAGCUCGGGAGUCAAUCGCUGUUCCGCGUGAAUAAAAAGAUGGAGGAGGACGGAAUAAUAAACUCCCGCGACGUUUCUAAACAGCCAGAAUUUGUUAAUGGAACCGUUCUGUACAAACAGUUUCCAGAGUGCCUUUGCUGGACGUGGACUAGCAAGAGGAAAAGGACAAUGAAAAUGCGUUGGUGGUGUUGGACUUCUAGCGGAAUCUCAAAAGCGCCAUUAUCAAAACUCAGUCUUCUUCCUGGAGAUACUUCCGGCCGAGAACAUCCUCCGGGUGAAGGCGAUCGAGGUGGACAAACUUCCCACGGGGCAGCACUCGAACAUUGGAAGGGUAGACAAGCAGAACCUUUCCAAAAGUGGUCGGCCAUCGUCGGACCAAAAGGAGUCGGUUUGUAUUUCCUUCUUGUGCAACGGCC